AUUGAACGCUGGCGGCAUGCCUUACACAUGCAAGUCGAACGGUAACAGGUCUUCGGAUGCUGACGAGUGGCGAACGGGUGAGUAAUACAUCGGAACGUGCCUAGUAGUGGGGGAUAACUACUCGAAAGAGUGGCUAAUACCGCAUGAGAUCUACGGAUGAAAGCAGGGGAUCGCAAGACCUUGUGCUACUAGAGCGGCCGAUGGCAGAUUAGGGAGUUGGUGGGAUAAAAGCUUACCAAGCCGACGAUCCGUAGCUGGUCUGAGAGGACGAUCAGCCACACUGGGACUGAGACACGGCCCAGACUCCUACGGGAGGCAGCAGUGGGGAAUUUUGGACAAUGGGCGCAAGCCUGAUCCAGCAAUGCCGCGUGCAGGAUGAAGGCCUUCGGGUUGUAAACUGCUUUUGUACGGAACGAAAAGCCCCGGGUUAAUACCCUGGGGUCAUGACGGUACCGUAAGAAUAAGCACCGGCUAACUACGUGCCAGCCGCCGCUGUAA
rnacentral:rRNA from 1 species